AAAGGAUACGCCAGAAUUGUGCAGUCGAGACGACAACUUCUGUGUCCGUUUCAAAUGUAUUACUACUGGCUCCGGUAUUUCCACGACACUCUCCUUCCACACUGAGUCAAAACCUACAGUCACUGGGUCCUGAUUGUGACAGUGGAGCCCAUUUUGAACUGCAGGAUCAAGAGAUAGCAUCAGUGAAGCUGGAAGACUGCAGUCAAACACUGGAACUGAAUGCCAAAAUUAAAACAGAAAAUCUGUUUCUCAUGCUACCUGAUCCAUUGAAAUGAGAUCAGUGCUUGACUUGGACAGGAGCUCACUGGAGCUGAGAACCGGCACUUCAAAUGUCUACUGUUUGAGCUCAUGUUCCUGUCAAGGCUUUGGG